rnacentral:rRNA from 1 species
GAUGAACGCUAGCGGCAGGCUUAAUACAUGCAAGUUGAGGGGCAGCAUGAUAUACGCGAGUAUAUUGAUGGCGACCGGCGGACGGGUGAGUAAUAGGUAGGAGACCUACCUCAUACAGGGGGAUAGCAUAGAGAAAUCUGUGGUAAUACCCCAUGAGGUUAUAUGAAUAGAGGCAUAUAAUCAAAAGCAUAAGCGAUUAUGCGGUAUGAGAGGGGCCUACUGACCAUUAGCUAGUUGGUGAGGUAAGGGCUCACCAAGGCGAAGAUGGUUAGGGGUUUUGAGAGAGAGACCCCCACAUUGGAACUGAGAUACGGCCCAGACUCCUACGGGAGGCAGCAGUCGAGAAUAGUCUACAAUGGCCGGAAGGCUGAUAGUGCGACGCCGCGUGAACGAGGGAGCCCGUUCGGGGUGUAAAGUUCUUUUCUAUACGAGCAGUGCUAUAUAUAUGGAUAGUAUAUAUAGAGGGUAUAGUAGUAU